CUGAUUGGCUGCGAUGAGCAUGACGCUGAUGAUGAAGGCCAUGGCGAAAGCGCAGAUGAGACUCUUCCUCACGCACGUCUGACGGUUCUUCUUCGACGGGUGGACUGGAACGAGAAGAAGACGAAGAAAAGAGACGUUUGGAGCAACAGAACUCAGCCUGAAGUGUGAGCUUGUUGUCGUUGUUGCCGGGCAGAUUUAACGUCUCAUCUGAAUGAACGGCGGGAUGCUGGAAGGUGACCAGCAGAGACGGACCGUAAGCAGGUGGCGAUAAAGAGCAACAUCCACAUGAAAACCCAAACGAAGAAGAUCCUGAGCAUGGCCCAGGCAAAAUAAGGAUUCAUGUUUUCUUUGUCGGUUCAACAAGCUUUUACUAAACUUUUCAGCUUCCAUUUGAGACUUUUAGGGACUACAACUGCCGGCGAAUAUCUGAGAUUUAUACAAAAUAACUUUAGAACAACCUAUUUUAAAAUGCUCUGCUAGAUAUCCAAGCUAGUGGAGAUUGAGCCUUAAAAUGCUUAAUCGCUCAUUAUAAUUCCCAGUUAUUUUUUUUUUUACCAUUUUCCUACAAUUUUACAAAAUGUCAUAUUGUUAUA